UUAUAAAGUUUUUUUAUUUUGACACAGGGUCUGGCCAAGUCACCCAAGUUUGCCUCAAAAACUCGCAGUCCUCUUGUCUCAGCCUUCCAAGCCUCUGGUACUACAGGCUGUGCACAGUGCCCAACUGAUUUUAGGCCAUCUCAGCCUGCUGUGUUUUCUUUUUGCAGAGACCAGCAAUCAGAAGUGAAAGAGUUGGAGCCCAGAUUUGAAUAAUACAUUUUCUUCAAGUUCAAAAAAUCUAGAAAAAGAUUUU
rnacentral:lncRNA from 1 species